UCAUCCCGACGUCAAUUAAAAGUCCGAUCGUUCAAAGAUCGGAGAGAGAGAGAAAAAAAAAAGAAGAGAGGAGAAAGAGGGGGGGGACUUCCCCCAGCGGCUCCCUCACAACAAAACUCCGUCCGGACUCCCACGGGAGUCGGACUCCGUCACCAACUUCGACUGCUGGAAGACUCCACCCGAGCUCCCACGGGAGUCGAACCGCACCCCGACUUCGCCUACGAAAGCCAAACUCCCAUAGCCU
rnacentral:lncRNA from 1 species